UGAAAAAGGUUUUUGCACAGUGAUCUGGACCCUUCUUAGCUAUACCUUAUCGCUGUUCACAGUUCACUCCGCUAGUGGCCACCACUGUGCAAAAAGCUUCUUCACAUUUCAGUCGAUACGAUUGUAAUUCUGUGGCAAGAAAAAGUGCAGAACCAAAUAAAUAUUACAAUUCUAAAGUUGUAAUACACCCAGU